rnacentral:lncRNA from 1 species
CCCUAUAUCUUAUAAUAAUUUGAAUGUGGUUAAAGCUGCUUUACAGAAGUCUUGGCAUACAAGGAAUGAGUUUCACAUCUUAGCUAAGACUGCUUUAUUGAAGUCUUGGCAUACAAGGAAUGAUUUUCAGAUCUUAGCUAAGAACAACGUUUUUCUCCUAUUAUUUGUUAGGAAAAUGUGAUUAGCUUUGUUACUGAUUUGUUGAAAAUACUCGGAUACCAUUUUGUUGGAAGAAAACUAUGAUAUUGCUUUGUUGGAAAGGAUAUUACUCAAGAAAAUACUAGGAAGAGAGAGAACAUAUGAAAGCACUCAUAUUGUAAGCAAUAAG